rnacentral:rRNA from 1 species
UACAGAGGGUGCGAGCGUUAAUCGGAAUUACUGGGCGUAAAGCGUGCGUAGACGGUUAUUUAAGUCGGAUGUGAAAGCCCCGGGCUCAACCUGGGAACUGCGUCUGAUACUGGAUGGCUUGAAUCCGGGAGAGGGAUGCAGAAUUCCAGGUGUAGCGGUGAAAUGCGUAGAUAUCUGGAGGAACACCGGUGGCGAAGGCGGCAUCCUGGACCGGUAUUGACACUGAGGCGCGAAAUCCAGGGGAGCAAACGGG